UUAGCAUAUCAAUAAGCGGAGGAAAAGAAACCAACAGGGAUUGCCCUAGUAACGGCGAGUGAAGCGGCAACAGCUCAAAUUUGAAAUCUGGCUCUCUUUGGGGGUCCGAGUUGUAAUUUGCAGAGGAUGCUUUGGCAUUGGCGGCGKUCUAAGUUCCUUGGAACAGGACAUCACAGAGGGUGAGAAUCCCGUACGUGGKCGCCUGCCUUUGCCGUGUAAAGCUCCUUCGACGAGUCGAGUUGUUUGGGAAUGCAGCUCUAAAUGGGAGGUAAAUUUCUUCUAAAGCUAAAUACCGGCCAGAGACCGAUAGCGCACAAGUAGAGUGAUCGAAAGAUGAAAAGUACUUUGGAAAGAGAGUCAAAAAGCACGUGAAAUUGUUGAAAGGGAAGCGCUUGCAGCCAGACUUGCCCGCAGUUGCUCACCUAGGCUUUGGCCUGGGGCACUCUUCUGCGGGCAGGCCAGCAUCAGUUUGGGCGGUYGGAUAAAGGCCUCUGUCACGUAUCUCCCUYCGGGRUGACCUUAUAGGGGAGGCGUAAUGCRACCAGCCCGGACUGAGGUCCGCGCAUCUGCUAGGAUGCUGGCGUAAUGGCUGUAAGCGGCCCGUCUUGAAACACGGACCAAGGAGUCUAACAUCUAUGCGAGUGUUUGGGUGUCAAGCCCGGGCGCGCAAUGAAAGUGAACGGAGGUGGGAACCCUUUGGGUGCACCAUCGACCGAUCCUGAUGUCUUCGGAUGGAUUUGAGUAAGAGCAUAGCUGUUGGGACCCGAAAGAUGGUGAACUAUGCUUGAAUAGGGUGAAGCCAGAGGAAACUCUGGUGGAGGCUCGCAGCGGUUCUGACGUGCAAAUCGAUCGUCAAAUUUGGGCAUAGGGGCGAAAGACUAAUCGAACCAUCUAGUAGCUGGGUUUCCUGCC
rnacentral:rRNA from 1 species